rnacentral:misc_RNA from 1 species
GGAUGAAGAACGUAGCGAAAUGCGAUAACUAAUGUGAAUUGCAGAAUUCCGUGAAUCAUCGAGUUUUUGAACGCACAUUGCACUCCUUGGUAUUCCGAGGAGUACGCCUGUUCGAGCGUCAUUACACUCUCAAGCGUUGCUUGGAUUUGAAUCACUGCCGUGGCAGGAUUCCAAUAUCGUCGGCAAUUGACCAUCUGUGAUGACUCACUCCGAGUUAAUUCGCCUGAAACUUCUUUCAAGUUGACCUCGGAUCAGGCGGGGAUACCCGCUGAACUUAAGCAUAUCAAUAAGCGGAGGA